GUGCAGAUUUGAUCACUAGCUCUGCAUGAUAUUAUAGAAAUGAAGGGAACCAUAUUGUUUUGUUUUGGAGAGAUUUUUCCUAAAGGG
rnacentral:snoRNA from 1 species